rnacentral:rRNA from 1 species
CGAACGAAACACCUUAUUUGAUUUUCUUCGGAACUGAAAAUUUGGUGAUUGAGUGGCGGACGGGUGAGUAACGCGUGGGUAACCUACCCUGUACAGGGGGAUAACAGUCAGAAAUGACUGCUAAUACCGCAUAAGACCACAGCACCGCAUGGUGCAGGGGUAAAAACUCCGGUGGUACAGGAUGGACCCGCGUCUGAUUAGCUGGUUGGUGAGGUAACGGCUCACCAAGGCGACGAUCAGUAGCCGGCUUGAGAGAGUGAACGGCCACAUUGGGACUGAGACACGGCCCAAACUCCUACGGGAGGCAGCAGUGGGGAAUAUUGCACAAUGGGGGAAACCCUGAUGCAGCGACGCCGCGUGAGUGAAGAAGUAUCUCGGUAUGUAAAGCUCUAUCAGCAGGGAAGAAAAUGACGGUACCUGACUAAGAAGCCCCGGCUAACUACGUGCCAGCAGCCGCGGUAAUACGUAGGGGGCAAGCGUUAUCCGGAAUUACUGGGUGUAAAGGGUGCGUAGGUGGUAUGGCAAGUCAGAAGUGAAAACCCAGGGCUUAACUCUGGGACUGCUUUUGAAACUGUCAGACUGGAGUGCAGGAGAGGUAAGCGGAAUUCCUAGUGUAGCGGUGAAAUGCGUAGAUAUUAGGAGGACAUCAGUGGCGAAGGCGGCUUACUGGACUGAAACUGA